AUUGAACGCUGGCGGCAGGCUUAACACAUGCAAGUCGAACGAGUGGCGGACGGGUGAGUAAUGCUUGGGAAUCUGGCUUAUGGAGGGGGAUAACGACGGGAAACUGUCGCUAAUACCGCGUACCAUAGGAUGAGCCCAAGUGGGAUUAGGUAGUUGGGGGGGGAAUGGCCUACCAAGGCGACGAUCUCUAGCUGGUCUGAGAGGAUGUCCAGCCACACCGGACCUGCGCCACGGCCCGGACGCCUACGGUAGGCAGCAGUGGGGAAUAUUGCUCAAUGGGGGCAACCUGACGCAGCCAUGCCGCGUGAAUGAAGAAGGCCUUCGGGUUGUAAAGUUCUUUCGGUGACGAGGCGUUAAUCACAGAAGAAGCACCGGCUAACUCCGUGCCAGCAGCCGCGGUAAUUC
rnacentral:rRNA from 1 species